rnacentral:rRNA from 1 species
GAUGAACGCUGGCGGCGUGCCUAAUACAUGCAAGUCGAGCGAACAGACGAGAGUGCUUGCACUCUCUGACGUUAGCGGCGGACGGGUGAGUAACACGUGGGUAACCUACCUAUAAGACUGGGAUAACUUCGGGAAACCGGAGCUAAUACCGGAUAAUAUUUAGCUUCGCAUGAAGCAAUAGUGAAAGACGGUUCUGCUGUCACUUAUAGAUGGACCCGCGGUGUAUUAGCUAGUUGGUGAGGUAACGGCUCACCAAGGCAACGAUACAUAGCCGACCUGAGAGGGUGAUCGGCCACACUGGGACUGAGACACGGCCCAGACUCCUACGGGAGGCAGCAGUAGGGAAUCUUCGGCAAUGGACGAAAGUCUGACGGAGCAAUGCCGCGUGAGUGAAGAAGGUUUUCGGAUCGUAAAACUCUGUUGUAAGGGAAGAACAAGUACGUUAGUAACUGAACGUACCUUGACGGUACCUUACCAGAAAGCCACGGCUAACUACGUG